GUGCCAGCAGCCGCGGUAAGACGAACCGUGCAAACGUUGUUCGGAAUCACUGGGCUUAAAGGGCGCGUAGGCGGGCUCCCAAGUCGGUGGUGAAAUCUUUCGGCCCAACCGGAAAAGUGCCGCCGAUACUGGGAGUCUCGAGGGAGGUAGGGGUCGAGGGAACUUCCGGUGGAGCGGUGAAAUGCGUAGAUAUCGGAAGGAACGCCGGUGGCGAAAGCGCUCGACUGGACCUCUUCUGACGCUGAGGCGCGAAAGCCAGGGGAGCAAACGGGAUUAGAAACCCUCGUAGUCC
rnacentral:rRNA from 1 species